UACGGAGGGUACGAACGUUAAUCGGAAUUACUGGGCGUAAAGAGUAUGUAGGCGGCUAGAUAAGUCAGACGUGUAAGCCCAUGGCUCAACCAUGGAAUUGCGUUUGAAACUAUUUAGCUUGAGUGCAGGAGAGGAAAGCGGAAUUCCCAGUGUAGCGGUGAAAUGCAUUGAUAUUGGGAAGAACACCGGUGGCGAAGGCGGCUUUCUGGUCUGUUACUGACGCUGAGAUACGAAAGCGUGGGUAGCAAACAGG
rnacentral:rRNA from 1 species